GCAGUGGUGGCUCCGCGGUAGAAUUCUCACCUUCUACGCAAGAGACCCGGGUUCCAUUCCCGGCCAGUGCA
rnacentral:tRNA from 1 species